UACGUAGGGGCCUAGCGUUGUCCGGAUUUAUUGGGCGUAAAGAGCUCGUAGGCGGUUCGGCAAGUCGGAUGUGAAAUCUCCACGCUUAACGUGGAGGGGCCAUUCGAAACUGCCGUGACUCGAGUCCGGUAGGGGAGUGUGGAAUUCCCGGUGUAGCGGUGAAAUGCGCAGAUAUCGGGAGGAACACCAGUAGCGAAGGCGGCGCUCUGGGCCGGUACUGACACUGAGACGCGAAAGUGUGGGGAGCGAACAGG
rnacentral:rRNA from 1 species